rnacentral:lncRNA from 1 species
CCCUAUUAUGAUAUCUUGAACUAUAUUAUGACAUCUUGGAUCAUAUUAUGAUACUUAAAGAUCAGCAAAAAUCGAAUCUGAACCAAUCAAAUCGGUAAAACCGAACUAAACUGUAGACUUGGUUUGGUUUAAAAUUUUAUUCGAUUUGGUUUGGUUGGUUUUUGACAUAUAAAAAAUAGAUUUGGAUUGGUUCAGAUUUGCC